ensembl:miRNA MIR487B microRNA 487b
UUGGUACUUGGAGAGUGGUUAUCCCUGUCCUGUUCGUUUUGCUCAUGUCGAAUCGUACAGGGUCAUCCACUUUUUCAGUAUCAA